CGCGGCCUAUCAGCUUGUUGGUGGGGUGAUGGCCUACCAAGGCGGUGACGGGUAGCCGGCCUGAGAGGGCGACCGGCCACACUGGGACUGAGACACGGCCCAGACUCCUACGGGAGGCAGCAGUGGGGAAUAUUGCACAAUGGGCGCAAGCCUGAUGCAGCGACGCCGCGUGAGGGAUGACGGCCUUCGGGUUGUAAACCUCUUUCGCCAGGGACGAAGGGUGAUACUGACGGUACCUGGAGAAGAAGCACCGGCUAACUACGUGCCAGCAGCCGCGGUAAUACGUAGGGUGCGAGCGUUGUCCGGAAUUAUUGGGCGUAAAGAGCUCGUAGGCGGUGUGUCGCGUCUGCCGUGAAAACCUACAGCUUAACUGUGGGCGUGCGGUGGAUACGGGCAUCACUUGAGUUCGGCAGGGGAGACUGGAAUUCCUGGUGUAGCGGUGGAAUGCGCAGAUAUCAGGAGGAACACCGGUGGCGAAGGCGGGUCUCUGGGCCGAUACUGACGCUGAGGAGCGAAAGCGUGGGGAGCGAACAGGAUUAGAUACCCUGGUAGUCCACGCUGUAAACGUUGGGCGCUAGGUGUGGGGUGCUGUCCAUGUACUCCGUGCCGUAGCUAACGCAUUAAGCGCCCCGCCUGGGGAGUACGG
rnacentral:rRNA from 1 species